CAUGUGUUAACUGUUUCGUUAGUUAUAAGGACAUUUCAGCCCAUUACUCAGGGCAGUAUGAAAGGUUGGUAAUAUACUGUCAAGAUCACGGCAGUGGCCUACUUUAAAAUCCACUUCCACGACCCGAAGACGAGGUUCCAUGCCUUCAUGAAAGCGGCUGCUGAACUCUAUCCUCCACCCCUCUAAGGAAGGUUCUUCGGAGUGGUAGACAUCCAAUGAAUCCUUGUGAUGGUCAUGAUGCGACUUGACAAUGCAAUCUGAUAAGGACUGGAGAUGCAGAAGGAUGGGCAGGAGUGGCAUUAAAUGCAACUGGACUUUAGCAUUAGUAUGAAAUUGGCCUUUCAAGAAUGUUCAAGCAACCAGAUUUUCGCUAAGUUGCUGAAGUAGGAGAGAUGACAGCUUUACAGGAAGCACAACUAAGACAAUGUCAUUGGUUAAAUGAAGCACUACUCCCAUUGUCAUAAUUUUUCAGAAUUCGCUGAGAUUUCAAAUUUUUAAAUUCUGAGGUGUAAUUACUUGUCAGAACUGUUAGUUUUAUAUCUAGUCACUCCUUUUGUAAUAUGAACUUGCAUUGGCAUAAAACAUGACAGCUUACAACUAGACCUAGCCAAUUUGGUUAGAUAUGCAUCGUGAACAAUGUUUUGUCUGCUUUUCUGUCAAUUCCUAUAUUGCUGUUCCUAACAAUUUUGAAUAAUCUAAAUUUUUAAAACGUGUGGGUCUUGGUUGUUGGCCCAUACACUUAAAAGCAGAGAUUGCAAUAAUUUAACCUCGC